rnacentral:rRNA from 1 species
UACGAAGGGGGCUAGCGUUGCUCGGAAUUACUGGGCGUAAAGCGCACGUAGGCGGAUUGUUAAGUCGGGGGUGAAAUCCUGGAGCUCAACUCCAGAACUGCCUUCGAUACUGGCGAUCUCGAGUUCGGGAGAGGUGAGUGGAACUGCGAGUGUAGAGGUGAAAUUCGUAGAUAUUCGCAAGAACACCAGUGGCGAAGGCGGCUCACUGGCCCGAUACUGACGCUGAGGCGCGAAAGCCAGGGGAGCAAACGGG